AUUGUAGUCUGCAACCCGACUACAUGAAGCUGGAAUCGCUAGUAAUCGCGGAUCAGAAUGCCGCGGUGAAUACGUUCCCGGGUCUUGUACACACCGCCCGUCACACCAUGGGAGUCGGAAAUGCCCGAAGUCUGUGACCUAACCGUAAGGAAGGAGCAGCCGAAGGCAGGUCGGAUGACUGGGGUGAAGUCGUAACAAGGUACC
rnacentral:rRNA from 1 species